rnacentral:rRNA from 1 species
GGCCGCAGAAUUUUAACUGUGCAAAGGUAGCAUAAUCACUAGUUUUUUAAUUGGAAGCUUGAAUGAAUGGUUGGACGAGGUACUUGCUGUUUCACAUUAAAUAUUAGAAUUUUAUUUUUUGGUAAAAAAGCCAAAAUUUUUUUGAAAGACGAGAAGACCCUAUAGAUCUUUAUAAUUUUAAAUAUUUUGUUUAUUAGGAUUGAAAUUGAUUAAUAUAUUUUAAAUUAUUUUGUUGGGGUGAUAUAGAGAUUUAUUAAACUUUCUUUAUUUUCUUUACAUUAAUUUAUGGUUUUAUUUGAUCCUAUAUUUUAGAUUAAAAAAUUAAGUUACCUUAGGGAUAACAGCGUGAUUUUUUCGGAGAGUUCAUAUCGAUGAAAGAGAUUGCGACCUCGAUGUUGGAUUAA